UCCCGGCUAGCUCAGUCGGUAGAACAUCAGACUUUUAAUCUGAGGGUCGUGGGUUUGAGUCCCAUGUUGGGCG
rnacentral:tRNA from 1 species